rnacentral:lncRNA from 1 species
AUAUAUAUAUAUAUAUAGAGUGAGGCUACUAUGCUAUCGGAAGCACGGAGCCUUCCGUGCUUCCAGCUCGUUUUCGAUGUUGCGACUUUUGAAUCGUCGAUCGGUUCCGUUAAACUUGAUCUAGAGUAUUUGAAGUAUCUAGAAAAUAAAUUUUUUUAUUUUUCGGUAUCAUUUGCCUAGUGAUCGAAUGGGCUCAAAAUCAACAAAUUUCAAUGGUCGUAGUGAGCCGUUUGCAAGUUUAACGGUGUAGAAAUAUCCAAAUCACGUGAAAUUUUGAUAGAAAAUUCUUUAUACUAUAUAAAACAAGAUCAAUAUCUUUGAUUUAAAAUUUUAAUGUCAUAUUAUCACAUUUUGUAAGAUUUUUAUUUUCAGCCGUUGAUUUUGAGCCCCUUCGUUCACUAGGCAAAUGAUAUCGUAAAAUCAUAAAAUUUAUUUUCUAGGUACUUCAAAUACUCUAGAUCAAGU